rnacentral:misc_RNA from 1 species
AGCAGUGUAUAAGAGACAGGUGAGUCAUCGAAUCUUUGAACGCACAUUGCGCCCCUUGGUAUUCCGGGGGGCAUGCCUGUUCGAGCGUCAUUUCAACCCUCAAGCUCUGCUUGGUCUUGGGCACUGCCGGUAACGGCUUGCCUUAAAACUAGUGGCGGUGCCAUUCGAGCUCUACGCGUAGUAAUUAAACCCUCGCGAUUGAGUCUUGGUGGAUGCUUGCCAGCAACCCUCAUUUUUUUAUGGUUGACCUCGGAUCAGGUAGGGAUACCCGCUGAACUUAAGCAUAUCAAUAAGCGGAGG